GAGGAUAUGAUGAUCCUUUCCCCAGAUGAUCGACAGUGAACAUUCUGUGCGCUAUAAUUUUUCUCUUUGGAGAAUCAAGCCAGAAUUCUGAUCCUC